CCCUUAGAUGUUCUGGGCUGCACACGUGCUACACUGGCAGGUUCAGCGAGCUUCAUGCCCUGAUCUGAAAGGAAUGGGAAAUCUUUUCAAAACCUGCCGUGCUUGGGAUAGAUGUUUGCAAUUAUUCAUCUUCAACGAGGAUUGCCUUGUAAGCGCACGUCAUCAGCGUGCAUUGAAUACGACCCUGUAUUCUGUACACGCCGCCCGUCGCUCCUACCGAUUGAAGUUUUCGGUGAGUUGACAGGAGGAUUUUUUUGAAACUGGUUCGCCAGUGGAUUUUAGAUCCAAAUGCCAACGAAUCGAUGGCUUUAGAGGAAGGAGAAGUCGUAACA
rnacentral:rRNA from 1 species